rnacentral:rRNA from 1 species
AUUGAACGCUGGCGGCAUGCUUUACACAUGCAAGUCGGACGGCAGCACAGAGAAGCUUGCUUCUUGGGUGGCGAGUGGCGAACGGGUGAGUAAUAUAUCGGAACGUACCGAGUAAUGGGGGAUAACUAAUCGAAAGAUUAGCUAAUACCGCAUAUUCUCUGAGGAGGAAAGCAGGGGACCUUCGGGCCUUGCGUUAUUCGAGCGGCCGAUAUCUGAUUAGCUAGUUGGUGGGGUAAAGGCCUACCAAGGCGACGAUCAGUAGCGGGUCUGAGAGGAUGAUCCGCCACACUGGGACUGAGACACGGCCCAGACUCCUACGGGAGGCAGCAGUGGGGAAUUUUGGACAAUGGGCGCAAGCCUGAUCCAGCCAUGCCGCGUGUCUGAAGAAGGCCUUCGGGUUGUAAAGGACUUUUGUCAGGGAAGAAAAGGCUGUUGCUAAUACCGACAGCUAGAUGACGGUACCUGAAGAAUAAGCACCGG